rnacentral:rRNA from 1 species
GACGAACGCUGGCGGCGUGCCUAAUACAUGCAAGUCGAACGCAGUGGGGACGGGUGAGUAACACGUGGGUAACCUCCCAUCAGAGGGGAUAACACUUGGAAACAGGUGCUAAACCGAUACUGAUGGAUGGACCCGCGGUGCAUUAGCUAGUUGGUGAGGUAACGGCUAACCAAGGCCACGAUGCAUAGCAGACCUGAGAGGCUGAUGGGCCACACUGGGACUGAGAAACGGCCAGGACUCCUACGGGAGGCAGCAGUGGGGAAUAUUGCACAAUGGGCGAAAGCCUGAUGCAGCCAUGCCGCGUGUAUGAAGAAGGCCGUCGGGUUGUAAAGUACUUUCAGCGGGGAGGCGUGACCCGCAGAAGAAGCACCGGCUAACUCCGUGCCAGCAGCCGCGGUAAUUC